UACAGAGGGUGCAAGCGUUAAUCGGAGUUACUGGGCGUAAAGGGCGCGUAGGCGGUUAUUUAAGUGAGAUGUGAAAUCCCUGGGCUUAACCUAGGAACUGCAUCUCAUACUGGAUGACUAGAGUAUUGUAGAGGGUAGUGGAAUUUCCGGUGUAGCGGUGAAAUGCGUAGAGAUCGGAAGGAACACCAGUGGCGAAGGCGGCUACCUGGACAAAUACUGACGCUGAGGCGCGAGAGCGUGGGGAGCAAACAGG
rnacentral:rRNA from 1 species